AUUUCUAUAUAUUAAAGCAGGCCCAGUAGCUCCUCAGCCAGUGUGUCCACGUAGUCCAAAAUUUUACAGCCGUCCGAUGGUUUGCACAGUUUCAAAUCCAAUAGUCCAAAAAGCAGCGCUGUUUCCUUCACUCGGUCCUACACGGGCUUUUAUUCUUCCUAGCCACUACUUCACACUUCUGGACGGGAGACGAAGCGACCACACCGAAGGAAAGAAGCCAGCGGCUUUUUUCUAUUCACAGUGUCAUCAUCUUCUGCCCGGAGUCGACGCCGCUCGCAACUUCACUGUUUCCCCCAUCCCAUCCACUACUCCUGGCGCUACACCGGUUAUAUCCGCCACAGCGUCAUAGCAGCUUCACAGUAGAAUCGCUGCCGUCGCCGACGACUGUCAAGAUCUCCACAGUUUCUCCGAUUGCUUCGUCAUUUUAUCAACGUUUGGCAUAGUAAAUCCUUAUCUUUGGUUUGGAAAAGAAGGGCUUCAUUAACUUCUACAUGUCUGGUCAGGGAAAAAACCUGCUUCAUCAAGGCCAAGCGUAUGCUAACGUAUCUUAGCUCACAAACCUCUGCUUCGGAAAAGGUUGACUUUUCAAAACAAAAGGCGCCACAGACGCAAGGAGCUUGAUUCAAGCUGCAAUUUCAAUGACUACAAUGUUACCAAGACUCCAGGAUCGCUCCAUCCAAUAAAUAAUAUAUCAGCAACUUUGAACUAUCUUUUCUCACUAUGUAGUCAUGAACAAACUACUUAGAUGUAAAUAUGCGGCAACCAUCAUUUGCUACAAUACACUGAUGAUCAAUCUGCUUAGAUAUAUACUAUGCUACUAUGUAGUUAUGAACAACCUACUUAGAUGUAAAUAUGUGGCAGCCAUCUUUUGCUACUAUACACUGGCAAUCUGUUUAGAUAUAAAUAUGUGAUAAUACAGUGUUUGUCCCAUAAA